UACGAAGGGGGCUAGCGUUGUUCGGAAUUACUGGGCGUAAAGCGCGCGCAGGCGGUCUUCCAAGUCAGUGGUGAAAGCCUGGAGCUCAACUCCAGAACUGCCAUUGAAACUGUUAGACUUCGAGUACGAGAGAGGUGAGUGGAAUUCCCAGUGUAGAGGUGAAAUUCGUAGAUAUUGGGAAGAACACCAGUGGCGAAGGCGGCUCACUGGCUCGUAACUGACGCUCAGGCGCGACAGCGUGGGGAUCGAAACAGG
rnacentral:rRNA from 1 species